AGAUUGAACGCUAGCGGGAUGCUUUACACAUGCAAGUCGAACGGCAGCGCGGACUUCGGCCUGGCGGCGAGUGGCGAACGGGUGAGUAAUGUAUCGGAACGUGCCUAGUAGCGGGGGAUAACUACGCGAAAGCGUGGCUAAUACCGCAUACGCCCUACGGGGGAAAGGGGGGGAUCGGCAAGACCCUCUCACUAUUAGAGCGGCCGAUAUCGGAUUAGCUAGUUGGUGGGUAAAGGCCCACAAGGCGACGAUCCGUAGCUGGUUUGAGACGGACGACCAGCCACGACUGGGACUGGAGACACGGCCCCAGACCUCCGUACGGGGACGGCAAGGCAGGUUGGGGAAUUUUGGGAACUAAGUGGGGGGAAACCCUGGACUCCGAAGCCAGUCCCGCGUGUAGACGAUUGGAAGGUCCUUCGGGUUA
rnacentral:rRNA from 1 species